UGGGUUAUGGGCAGAAAUCUGUGCCAUCAGAAACUGAAUUUGAAUAAGUUAAAUUUGAAUUUGAAUUACUCGGAUUGAAUCUGAAUUGUAACUUGAAUGAAAGCUUUUGAAAACUGAAUUUGAAUUAGUCUAAUUUGAAAUUGAAUUUAUGGUUUGAAAAUGAAUUGAUUUGCUUUGAAACUGCAUUUUAUCCUUUAAAAAUUCAGCUCUCGAAUAAUUUCACAUUCACUUCUCACCAUUCAGUUUCAGUUCUACAAUUCAAUUUCAGUUCCAAAAUUCAGUUUUUUGGGACUUACAUCCGGUUCCGGUUCAAGCGCAGAUUAAUAGAACUACAGACUGAUAGCGUUACUGACGGAAUCUACAGCGUCUUGAGCUGAAUUAAGACUUCAGAAGUCAUUCAUCAUGUCGAAUGACCAGCGGAUAAACUCUCAGGUGUUUUGUGCCAGAAAUGGAGUGUCCACUGAAGACUGAAGAUACUGAAUCUCUGGCUUGCCAUUGAUCCCUCCUGUGCCUUCAUCUAGACAAGAGACAUCAACUUAACCACUCUCACAUGCUCUGUACCUACAUCACCUUCCCUGACAGUCGUAGCUUGGCUCGUCUGAGGGUGAAAUUAUAAGAAUGUGUUAUUUUGCAAAGUGCUCUCUAGGGUUCCUAAAUAAAAUAUGGCAUUGAGGUCAUUUCUUUUGAAUUAAUCCCUUCUUCUGAAAUAUAAGAACCUCUCCUGGUUUAAAUGGCACUUUCUGUUCCUUACUUCCUGUUCCACUCCCAAACCCAAAUAGAUGCUGACAAGCUGACACAGUAACAUGGAAGAGGGAAAGAAGCUGGAAAGGACUACUACAAAUAAACCCAAUGCCUAACAAUGAAAAAUGUAAAAUAAGAACAAUAAUAAUAAUAAAGAUAAAAGAUGAAGUAACAAGUUUUUUGUUUUUUUUGUUUAUUCCAAAUGAUCAUCCAGAUGUCUGUGACAUGUGAUGACAAACACCAUAAUGGAAGGCCUUUGUCAUCACAUGCUUAAACUCAUCAUAUAUUUUUGCACAUGCUGAACAGGCAGUCAGACAUGCUGUAACUGUGGGGUAGAAAACUGCAUGAACACCAUACA
ensembl:lncRNA